AAUAUUGGAAUACAUAUUCAUUGUAAUUAUACCUCUCCAAGGCUUCCUGAUUUUUCUUAUCCUGUGUGUUUUCAGUGCUGAGGUGAGAGAUGAAUUUAAGAAAUGGUUUCUGGGAGUUAUGCAAAAGCACAAAACAUCCACCUCAACAGUUUAUUCUGAUACCACCCAAUCCAAAUCAGUCAGUCAUGUGGAGUGAAGCCAAAAUAUAGGCUGAAGCAUAAACUACAAGACGUACAAUUAUUUCGGAAUUUUACUGGUUCUUAAUCCAGUAUCAAAAAAAUUCUUAGUUCAUUGAGAAAUAUGAACUAUAUU